CUCGUAGGCGGUUCGUCGCGUCCGGUGUGAAAGUUCAUCGCUUAACGGUGGAUCCGCGCCGGGUACGGGCGGGCUUGAGUGCGGUAGGGGAGACUGGAAUUCCCGGUGUAACGGUGGAAUGUGUAGAUAUCGGGAAGAACACCAAUGGCGAAGGCAGGUCUCUGGGCCGUCACUGACGCUGAGGAGCGAAAGCGUGGGGAGCGAACA
rnacentral:rRNA from 1 species